CUUAAUUUGACUCCUCAUUUUCAAUAUUGAUCAUUUCUUGGGAAAGAAAAAUAAAAUCAGAAAUUCAAUACUGUUUCUGGAGACCUGGUUGAGUUUAGUGUUAGCAGCUCAUAGGCCUGUUAUUUUAUUUAGUGGAUUUUAUAUUAGGGUUUUUUUUCAGAGGUGACUCUCAGCUUCACCAUGUUGAUGUCCCUUUCCAGAACAGCAUUCAGAAAGAUAUGCAAUGCCUCUCCCAAAAAAAGAGCUUCCUCUGACACUUGCUUUUAAUUAUACCUUGGAGACGCAACUGAGCAGGCUAUGACAGACAGGCUCUCUCCUGGAUGGUACUUCUCCAGGAAGUGGCUGAAAGGGUAUAUGGGCUUUGUAUUUGCCUGCAGGAAACAGCUUGCAUUGUUUUUUCAGUGUUGAACUUGCAGCACAGCUUGCAGAGAGCCAGAAUAAAGGCUGAUUAAAAGUAAAUAACAAAAGAAAAAUAAUAAAACCCCACAAACAUUCAGCAUUUCCACAGUGGCUGUGUGCUUAGUUUUUCAGGAAGCCUUCAGGACCCUUAAAAAUGGACCCUUAAGCAAAUGUCACAGGCACGUUUAUAGAACUGGAAUCAGCAAUUUAAAUGAAGAAAGUUAUGUUACCAAGUCUUAUCCUAAGCCAUAGUGCUGACCAGUUAUGCACCAGAAAUAAUUUCUUCAUACCUCAUACAGUCUGCACUAAAACCUCAUCUUCUGAGACACAGCUCUUCGAGAAACUAAGGGCACAUCCCCUUCUGCUUACUUUUUGCUCAUCUGGUGAUGGUGUAAUUGCAAGAGCCAAGGAGGGUCACACUGAUGAAGAAGAGGACAGGUCUCUGUGGGGAAGACAUUACCUCCACACCUCUCCCCAGUGGCUGCUGAUGCAGUGUGCUCACAGAGUCCCAGACCAAAUUUCAAGCUGUGCUACUUCGGAGGAAACCUGAUUGCAGUACCACUGCCUGCCUGCCUCACAGGACUCAGAAAAAAAGAGAUAAUGAUAGUCAUUGGGAAGAAUAAUCUGACCUACUAAUGCACCUUACAAGUCUCUAAAUUACCUGCAACCACAGAAGGAAAAAAGGACUUGGAUGCUUCUCUGAACAACUCAAUAACAGUCUCUGCUCAAUAUAUGAUAUCGAUCAAAAGGGCAAACAGAAUGUUAGGAUGCAAACAGUGGUGUUGAAAACGAUAUUGAAAGAAGACACCAUCAUAUAAAUCAAUGAGAGAGCUUCCUCUGAACCACUGUUCUGAGCUGAUCACUUCAUCAAAAAAGGAUGUGCCAUAAGGUUUACAAAGACAAAACAAAAAUGAAGAAAGGCUUGGGAAAACAUCGAUUAUGUGGAGAAUGAAAUCAUUGGGACAGUUCAGCUUUGAGAGAUACUGUUUAGGGUUCCAUGAAUAAUUUGUUCAGUAAAUUCAACUUAGGGGUAGCUGGGAAUUUUGUAACCACACAGUUUUAGUAGAAAAAGUCAAUUUGUCAAAAGAGAAGUAUUUUGCUGAAAUGUAUUGUUUCAGAAAAGGAUUUCAAAGGAAAUACAGACAAGGUUUCUGCCUGUCAAGCAUUUUUCUCCAACAAGAAACAUGCCUGACUUUCUUGAAGUAGGCUAUAAAUUAUCCUAGCUCACAGAUCUGUGUCAUGGACCCCCUCAGAUUUAGGGGGCAAUCGUUUAAGUUCAAAACUCCAGGGCAAAGACACUCUGGGGAUGACCAAGAUUUUGAAACUCAAAGUUUCCAGAACUCUAGGAGCUUUGGCUCCAAUACCAUUCUGUUAUAAAGUCGGAAAUGGAUGAGCAGGAAUAAAAUUUACAUUUUAUUAUGAGUGAUGGUCAUGGGGGCAGUGAUGUGCAAUCACUGUCUAUGUGGGGCAGGUGAGAGAACACAGUAGUUCAUGUGACCCACUGUCCUAAUAGCAAAGAUUUGUGACACAAAAUUCCUUUGGGGAUUCUUGGUAAUGAAUCUUUUCCCCAGAGCAUUCUAACAUGUACAGUUACAACUUUCUACCCCCUAAUUUUAAGAACUUCCUAUUUUUAUGUUAAAUCAAAGAAAACUGUGGAAUUUUUCUAUUCUUAUAGCCAUCUGUAGGAAGCUGCCCUCACAGAAUUCAGAGAAACACAGGACAGAGGAGCGGUGGCCUUGUAAGAUUCCUAAGAACGAAGACAGCAAAGUGCUCUGAUUUCACAAAAAUGACAAGCAGACUUGGGGGAAGGAGGGAGGGAGAGGCUGACUUUUGUUAAGUGAAAUAUUGGAAUAUAACCUUUUUGAAAUGUCAGAAUUUUUAACAGAAUAAAAAUACCAAUUGUCUGC